GUCUACGGCUAUGCUACCCUAAAUAAGCCUGAUCCUGUCUGAUUUCAGAAGCUAAGCAGGGUUGGUUCUGGUUAGUACUUGGAUGGGAGACCACUUAUGAAGACCAGGUGCUGUAGGUG
rnacentral:rRNA from 1 species